rnacentral:lncRNA from 1 species
AGCGGAACAAGCAAUCCAUUAAAAGAGUCAAGUAGAGAAUAAAAUCUACUAUCUUUUAUGAUUUAAAAAGGUUUUUCAUCACUUUUAUCGCUGAGACUAAACUUUAUAAAUAAUCCACAUCAUCCCUGCACUACGGCCAAAGAUAUUAAUUAGUAUCACAACCACAAAUUAUCCAUGCACUACGGGCCAAAGAUAUUCG